AUUGAACGCUGGCGGCAGGCCUAACACAUGCAAGUCGAACGAGUGGCGGACGGGUGAGUAAUGUCUGGGAAACUGCCCGAUGGAGGGGGAUAACUACUGGAACCGGUAGCUAAUACCGCAUACCAUCGGAUGUGCCCAGAUGGGAUUAGAGAGUAGGGGGGGUAACGGCUCACCUAGGCGCCGAUCCCUAGCUGGUCUGCGAGGAUGACCAGCCACACUGGAAAUGAGAAACGGUCCAGACUCCUACGUGAGGCAGCAGUGGGGAAUAUUGCACAAUGGGCGCAAGCCUGAUGCAGCCAUGCCGCGUGUAUGAAGAAGGCCGUCGGGUUGUAAAGUACUUUCAGCGAGGAGGCGUUACUCGCAGAAGAAGCACCGGCUAACUCCGUGCCAGCAGCCGCGGUAAUAC
rnacentral:rRNA from 1 species